rnacentral:rRNA from 1 species
AGAGUUUGAUCCUGGCUCAGGACGAACGCUGGCGGCGCGCCUAACACAUGCAAGUCGAACGGAGCGAAGAGAAGCUUGCUUUUCUUUGCUUAGUGGCGAACGGGUGAGUAACGCGUGAGUAACCUGCCCUGGAGUGGGGGACAACAGUUGGAAACGACUGCUAAUACCGCAUAAGCCCACGGAGCCGCAUGGCUCUGAGGGAAAAGGAGAAAUUUGCUUCAGGAUGGACUCGCGUCCAAUUAGCUAGUUGGUGAGGUAACGGCCCACCAAGGCGACGAUUGGUAGCCGGACUGAGAGGUUGAACGGCCACAUUGGGACUGAGACACGGCCCAGACUCCUACGGGAGGCAGCAGUGGGGGAUAUUGCACAAUGGGGGAAACCCUGAUGCAGCGACGCCGCGUGGAGGAAGAAGGUCUUCGGAUUGUAAACUCCUGUUGUUGAGGAAGAUAAUGACGGUACUCAACAAGGAAGUGACGGCUAACUACGUGCCAGCAGCCGCGGUAAAACGUAGGUCACAAGCGUUGUCCGGAAUUACUGGGUGUAAAGGGAGCGCAGGCGGGAAGACAAGUUGGAAGUGAAAUCCAUGGGCUCAACCCAUGAACUGCUUUCAAAACUGUUUUUCUUGAGUAGUGCAGAGGUAGGCGGAAUUCCCGGUGUAGCGGUGGAAUGCGUAGAUAUCGGGAGGAACACCAGUGGCGAAGGCGGCCUACUGGGCACCAACUGACGCUGAGGCUCGAAAGCAUGGGUAGCAAACAGGAUUAGAUACCCUGGUAGUCCAUGCCGUAAACGAUGAUUACUAGGUGUUGGAGGAUUGACCCCUUCAGUGCCGCAGUUAACACAAUAAGUAAUCCACCUGGGGAGUACGACCGCAAGGUUGAAACUCAAAGGAAUUGACGGGGGCCCGCACAAGCAGUGGAGUAU